GCCUUCAUGAAGCCGGAAUUGCUAGUAAUGGCAGGUCAGCAUACUGCCGUGAAUACGUUCCCGGGCCUUGUACACACCGCCCGUCACACCAUGAGAGUUGGAAAUACCCGAAGCCUGUGAGCUAACUGUAAGGAGGCAGCAGUCGAAGGUAGAGCCAAUGAUUGGGGUGAAGUCGUAACAAGGUAAC
rnacentral:rRNA from 1 species